rnacentral:lncRNA from 1 species
CUCCCAGGUCUAGAGAGGGGUACCCACGGUGGAGGGAGGUGGGAGGCCGAGACGGCCCCGGGGGUCGGCGGAGACCCAGCGGGAGCAGGGGGAAAUCGGAAGAGCUGGGGGCAUGGAGCGGGCGAGUUUGGAGCGGAAUGAGCCGGGAGCCCUACGUUGUGGAAGGAAGACAACAGUAUAGGACCAUCAGCAGGACCGGACAGAGAGGGCCCUGGCUGUCCUGGAACUUGUAGACCAGGCUGGCCUUGAACUCAGAAAUCCGCCUGCCUCUGACUCCCGAGUGCUGAGAUUAAAGGUGUGCACCACCACACCCGACAAGGAAGCCUGUUUUAAGAAGUGAUUCCAUGGAGGAGUUCUGCGGCGGCUCAGGGCUUGACUAAACAGUGGACCUCAGACCCGAGGGUGAAGGAUGAGGAGGAUGGAAGAAAAUGGGAGUGGCGCUUGCUGCAAAGGGUCUCGAAGGGUCUCAGCACCUGCGAACUGGCUCCAAUCCAAACUCCACUAUUCAUGGUCAAG